GUGUUCGUUUUGGCAGCACAUAUACUAAAAUUGGAACGAUACAAAGGAGAUCAGCAUGGCCCCUGCGUGAGGAUGACACACAAUUUGUGAAGCGUUCCAUAUUUCU